AUGGGAGGCGAGAUGGGCUUUCCAAGGGGGAGAGUCUUCCAUCAGUGGCUUCUCAAGAUGUGGAGGCAGAGCUUCAGGUGCAGGCCGUGAGCUAGCUGCUUUAGUAGAAAAGGCUGUUUGGAGGACGGCGUUGGUCUGGCUCCAUGGAAACCCUUUGAAACUGCAGAAGAAUCCCUCCCCCUGCCCCAGCCUGACAUGGUAAAGAUUUCUCAUCCGGUAAUUGCAGUGAAUCCAGAAGAAGGGGUGAUGGUGAGAGGGGAGAGGUCAAUUAAGGAAUGAUAGGUUUCUCUGCUCUUGUUUUCUUCUCCCACCCUCUUUGGGAUUUGGAUACUAGAGGCCCGAUGCACGAAAUUUGUGCAAGAGUAGGCCUUCCUUCCCCUGGUU